rnacentral:tRNA from 1 species
GCCCAGGUGGCGGAAUUGGUAGACGCGUACGUUUCAGGUGCGUAUGCCGCGAGGUGUGCAGGUUCGAGUCCUGUUCUGGGCACCA